GUGGGGAAUAUUGGACAAUGGGCGAAAGCCUGAUCCAGCCAUGCCGCGUGUGUGAAGAAGGUCUUCGGAUUGUAAAGCACUUUAAGUUGGGAGGAAGGGCAGUAAGUUAAUACCUUGCUGUUUUGACGUUACCGACAGAAUAAGCACCGGCUAACUUCGUGCCAGCAGCCGCGGUAAUACGAAGGGUGCAAGCGUUAAUCGGAAUUACUGGGCGUAAAGCGCGCGUAGGUGGUUUUGUAAGUUGGAGGUGAAAUCCCCGGGCUCAACCUGGGAACUGCCUCCAAAACUGCAUGACUAGAGUACGGUAGAGGGUAGUGGAAUUUCCUGUGUAGCGGUGAAAUGCGUAGAUAUAGGAAGGAACACCAGUGGCGAAGGCGACUACCUGGACUGAUACUGACACUGAGGUGCGAAAGCGUGGGGAGCAAACAGGAUUAGAAACCCUGUAGUCC
rnacentral:rRNA from 1 species